UACGUAGGGUGCAAGCGUUAAUCGGAAUUACUGGGCGUAAAGCGUGCGCAGGCGGUUCGGAAAGAGAGGUGUGAAAUCUCAGGGCUUAACCUUGGAACUGCACUUUUAACUACCGGGCUAGAGUACGUCAGAGGGGGGUAGAAUUCCACGUGUAGCAGUGAAAUGCGUAGAGAUGUGGAGGAAUACCGAUGGCGAAGGCAGCCCCCUGGGAUGAUACUGACGCUCAUGCACGAAAGCGUGGGGAGCAAACAGG
rnacentral:rRNA from 1 species